rnacentral:lncRNA from 1 species
AUUUAUAUGGAACAGCUUUAUCGGAUGAGUAAGGGACAAGGCCCUCUAACCGUAUGACCAACGAUGAUACCGAUCUAUUGACAUUAAUACUGCUGCUACUGUCAAAUUGAAUAACUACCCACUCAGAGGUCUUAAACACUGGUACAAUAAUAUUCACAUCAUCUCCCAUAUCCCUUGACUGUUGAAUCUGGAUUACAUUCUCAUCCAUCAACUUCU